GCUGGCUUUGGCAGAGCACAUACUAAAACUGGUAGAUCCAGAGAAGCUUAGCAUGGCCCUGUCCAAGGGUGAGGUAUUUCAGAGUUUUGCAAGUUUAC
ensembl:snRNA Gm23210 predicted gene, 23210